CCCUUAGAUGUUCUGGGCCGCACGCGCGCUACACUGACGAUGGCAACGAGUUUUUCCUUCGCCGAAAGGUGUGGGUAAUCUUUUGAAACAUCGUCGUGCUGGGGAUAGAUCAUUGCAAUUUUUGAUCUUGAACGAGGAAUGCCUAGUAAGCGUGAUUCAUCAAAUCGCGUUGAUUACGUCCCUGCCCUUUGUACACACCGCCCGUCGCUCCUACCGAUUGAAUGUGUUGGUGAGGAGCUCGGAUUGGCAGCAGUUGGUGGUUCGCCACCGGCUAUUGCUGAGAAGUCCUCCAAACCGCCCCAUUUAGAGGAAGGAGAAGUCGUAACA
rnacentral:rRNA from 1 species